rnacentral:rRNA from 1 species
GGGGCGAUUAAUAAAAAUUAAAAACUUUGUUUUUUUAAAAAAGAACCAAUAAUAUUGGAAAUAUGAUAAAAAUACUCUAGGGAUAACAGCGUAAUAACUUUAGAUAGUUCAUAUAGACAAAGUAGUUUGCGACCUCGAUGUUGGAUUAGGAUACUUUUUUAAUGAAGAAGUUAAAAAAAGAAGUUUGUUCAACUUUUAAUUUCCUACUUGAUCUGAGUUCAGACCGGA